rnacentral:rRNA from 1 species
UGGGGAAUAUUGGACAAUGGAGGGAACUCUGAUCCAGCAAUUCUGUGUGUGUGAAGAGGUUUUAGGACUGUAAAACACUUUUAGUAGGGAAGAAAAAAAUGACGGUACCUACAGAAGAAGCAACGGCUAAAUACGUGCCAGCAGCCGCGGUAAUACGUAUGUUGCGAGCGUUAUCCGGAAUUAUUGGGCUUAAAGGGCAUCUAGGCGGUAAGACAAGUUGAAGGUGAAAACCUGUGGCUCAACCAUAGGCUUGCCUACAAAACUGUUGAACUAGAGUACUGGAAAGGUGGGUGGAACUACACGAGUAGAGGUGAAAUUCGUAGAUAUGUGUAGGAAUGCCGAUGAUGAAGAUAACUCACUGGACAGAAACUGACGCUGAAGUGCGAAAGCUAGGGGAGCAAACAGG